AAUGGGUCAGCGACUUAUAUUCUGUAGCAAGGUUAACCGUAUAGGGGAGCCGAAGGGAAACCGAGUCUUAACUGGGCGUUAAGUUGCAGGGUAUAGACCCGAAACCCGGUGAUCUAGCCAUGGGCAGGUUGAAGGUUGGGUAACACUAACUGGAGGACCGAACCGACUAAUGUUGAAAAAUUAGCGGAUGACCUGUGGCUGGGGGUGAAAGGCCAAUCAAACCGGGAGAUAGCUGGUUCUCCCCGAAAGCUAUUUAGGUAGCGCCUCGUGAACUCAUCUUCGGGGGUAGAGCACUGUUUCGGCUAGGGGGCCAUCCCGGCUUACCAACCCGAUGCAAACUACGAAUACCGAAGAAUGUUAUCACGGGAGACACACGGCGGGUGCUAACGUCCGUCGUGAAGAGGGAAACAACCCAGACCGCCAGCUAAGGUCCCAAAGUCAUGGUUAAGUGGGAAACGAUGUGGGAAGGCACAGACAGCCAGGAUGUUGGCUUAGAAGCAGCCAUCAUUUAAAGAAAGCGUAAUAGCUCACUGGUCGAGUCGGCCUGCGCGGAAGAUGUAACGGG
rnacentral:rRNA from 1 species